rnacentral:rRNA from 1 species
GUAGGGAAUUUUCGGCAAUGGGCGCAAGCCUGACCGAGCAACGCCGCGUGAGUGAUGAAGGUCUUCGGAUCGUAAAGCUCUGUUGUAAGGGAAGAACGUCUCUGUAAGAAACAGGGAGUGACGGUACCUUACCAGAAAGCCACGGCUAACUACGUGCCAGCAGCCGCGGUAAUACGUAGGUGGCAAGCGUUAUCCGGAAUUAUUGGGCGUAAAGGGUGCGUAGGCGGCUUGUUAAGUUUAUGGUGAAAGCGUGGGGCUUAACCCCAUUAAGCCAUAGAUACUGGCAGGCUAGAGUGUAGAAGAGGGCAGUGGAAUUCCAUGUGUAGCGGUAAAAUGCGUAGAUAUAUGGAGGAACACCAGUGGCGAAGGCGGCUGCCUAGUCUACAACUGACGCUGAGGCACGAAAGCGUGGGGAGCAAAUAGGAUUAGAUACCCCAGUAGUCC